UGCAAAGUACUAGAUAGCGGAGAGUAAAGUCCUGUAAUUAAUCUUAUUUUUAAUUCAAAUUGGAUUUUACUAAGUAU
rnacentral:tRNA from 1 species